UAGGGAAUCUUCGGCAAUGGGGGCAACCCUGACCGAGCAACGCCGCGUGAGUGAAGAAGGUUUUCGGAUCGUAAAGCUCUGUUGUAAGAGAAGAACGUGUGUGAGAGUGGAAAGUUCACACAGUGACGGUAACUUACCAGAAAGGGACGGCUAACUACGUGCCAGCAGCCGCGGUAAUACGUAGGUCCCGAGCGUUGUCCGGAUUUAUUGGGCGUAAAGCGAGCGCAGGCGGUUUAAUAAGUCUGAAGUUAAAGGCAGUGGCUUAACCAUUGUUCGCUUUGGAAACUGUUAAACUUGAGUGCAGAAGGGGAGAGUGGAAUUCCAUGUGUAGCAGUGAAAUGCGUGGAUAUAUGGAGGAACACCGGUGGCGAAAGCGGCUCUCUGGUCUGUAACUGACGCUGAGGCUCGAAAGCGUGGGGAGCAAGCAGG
rnacentral:rRNA from 1 species